UGAAGAGGAGAAGCACGAUGGAAGAAGGAGAAGAGGGUGGUGACAGAGGUGGCAGUGACAGAUAAGGAGGCUAGAUCGAGAGAGUAGGGAAGAGGAGACAGGAAUGUAUACUACAAAUCCGACGACACUUAUCAGGUCCCAUCUCACAGAUCCAUUUCAACUCUUCAAUCUUCGAGUAUUUCGUGCAAUUCGAAGCUUUGAUCUUUGAGGUAUGGAGAGUGUUGGUUCAGAAAAGAUAAGAGGAAGAAGAAGCCAGAGGGUGAGAACAAGAUCAAGUGCAAAAUGAAGACUGUGAAUUGCAAGUUCUGGAGAAAACUUAUGCUGUUAGGGCUUUUGGUGCCAUUGUGGAAUCAUUUCCAAGCUUUACUCUU